rnacentral:siRNA from 1 species
AGCUUAGAGGUCGCCGGUUCGAGU